rnacentral:rRNA from 1 species
GAUGAACGCUGGCGGCGUGCCUAAUACAUGCAAGUCGAGCGAACGGACGAGAAGCUUGCUUCUCUGAUGUUAGCGGCGGACGGGUGAGUAACACGUGGAUAACCUACCUAUAAGACUGGGAUAACUUCGGGAAACCGUAGCUAAUACCGGAUAAUAUUUUGAACCGCAUGGUUCAAAAGUGAAAGACGGUCUUGCUGUCACUUAUAGAUGGAUCCGCGCUGCAUUAGCUAGUUGGUAAGGUAACGGCUUACCAAGGCAACGAUGCAUAGCCGACCUGAGAGCGGGAGCGGCAACGCUGCAACUGAGUCACGGACCGGCCUCAUGCAGGAGGAAGCAGUAGGGAUUCUGCAGCGAGGUGCGUAAGCCUGACGUAUCACAGCAGCGGGAGAGCAUAAGGUCUUCGUAUCGUACAACUAUUUUAUGAGGACAGACAAUAAGAGUAAGUAACUGUGCGCAUCUUCCCGGCAGAUAAACAGAUAGCCACGGCUCCCGAGUGG